rnacentral:rRNA from 1 species
UACAGAGGUCCAAGCGUUGUUCGGAUUCAUUGGCGUAAAGGGUGCGUAGGCGGCGCGGUAAGUCGGGUGUGAAAUCGUCGGAGCUUAACUCCGAAACUGCAUUCGAUACUGCCGUGCUUGAGGACUGGAGAGGAGACUGGAAUUUACGGUAGUAGCGGUGAAAUGCGCAGGAUAGUCAGGAGGAACACCCGUGGCGAAAGCGGGCUCUGGCGGA